AACGACCCAGGGAGUGCACUUGAUUGGCGAGUCUAACCCGUGAACCGGGGAAGGCGCAGGGAAACCGAUACGGCCGCAGCACAUUCGUGUGAGGGCCACCGUGUUCAAGCGCGGGGAGUCAAUCAGGUGCGACCCGAAACCAGGCGAUCUACGCGCGAGCAAGGUGAAGCGUGGCGAAAGCCACGUGGAGGCCUGUUAGAGUUGGUAUUCUACAAUAUCCUCUCGUGACUCGUGUGUAGGGGGGAAAGGCCCAUCGAGCCUGGCAACAGCUGGUUCCAACCGAAACAUGUCGAAGCAUGACCUCUUCCGAGGUAGCCCGCGGGGUAGAGCUACCGAUUGGAUGACCCGCCUCCGAGAGGAGUCGGCCAUCCUGUCGAACUCCAAAC
rnacentral:rRNA from 1 species